rnacentral:misc_RNA from 1 species
GAUGAAGAACGCAGUGAAAUGCGAUAAGUAGUGUGAAUUGCAGAAUUCAGUGAAUCAUCGAAUCUUUGAACGCACAUUGCGCCCCUUGGUAUUCCAUGGGGCAUGCCUGUUCGAGCGUCAUUUGUACCCUCAAGCACGGCUUGUGUGUUGGGCCCCGUCCUCCGAUCCCGGGGGACGGGCCCGAAAGGCAGCGGCGGCACCGCGUCCGGUCCUCGAGCGUAUGGGGCUUUGUCACCCGCUCUGUAGGCCCGGCCGGCGCUUGCCGAUCAACCCAAAUUUUUAUCCAGGUUGACCUCGGAUCAGGUAGGGAUACCCGCUGAACUUAAGCAUAUCAAUAAGCGGAGGA